GCGCUCUGUUCUGCCCUUUCACUGAAAAUAGCUCUUCCUGACACAGGCUUGGGUAGUGAAAGCAGCUUGGUCACAUCUGUCCCAUGGUGUAACUAAUCUUUAGGAUCUGCAGAGACCUGCCUUCCUCUGCAAUUGUAACUGUACCUCCAAUCGUGAGUUUCGUCUGGCAGCUUAACUGGGCUACCAGCGAGGUCCUCAUAAUGGCUUUUGCUCCUUGCCUCGCGGAGACCCGACUCUGGAAUCCUUAGCCAGUGAUUAGAUGCUGCAACUGCACUUCCUGGCUCCGUCCUCUUGAGCAAGUGAAUUCGCUUCUCUGAGCAUCAGAGAAGUAAUCGGUAAAACAGGGAUAAUAGUAAUUUACUCAUGGGCUUGUUG
rnacentral:lncRNA from 1 species